ACCGAGACGGAACGGAGAACGGCCGCAGCACAACACCAAGCCCAACCCAACAGCAGCCAGCAAACUCUCGCACCACCACCACCUCCCUCCUCCUCCGACGCAGCGGCAGGCCUGCAGCCGCCGGCGCCGGCGCCGUCCCGGACCACCCGAGCCCCCGCCGUCCCUACUCGGCAAGCGGAGCGUCCCGCGAUAGCCCGCCUCGGCGGCCCCUCGCGACAGCUGCAGCAGCGCGUGGAGCCUGACGGGAGCUGCAGCAGGCCCCGAUCGCUCCCGCCACCCUCCGCCUCGCCCGCGUCCGCGCGCGCGCAGAAGAAGCAAAGAGACAUUUCAAGUUUGGCAGUGUAGUAUCAGAUUUCAAAUUGGAAAUUAAAGUUUCUACUGGGCAUUUUGUGGGAUUCUCUUUGUGGCUCAGCUGUAUUUAUAUGGAAUCACUUGCCUGAGAAAUGCCGUCCUCUACACCACCAUCAGUGCAACCAGCACCAAGCGUUCAACCAGUACCAUCAUCUGCAGGACAGAGUACACGUAUUGAUGUUCGUGAGAUCAAGUCCAAGAUUUUUAAAAGGAUUGGGCCUGAACGAGCAAGAAAGUACUUUCAGCACCUAGAGAGGUUCUUAUCUUCAAGACUGAGCAAAAAUGAAUUUGAAAAGCUGUGCCUUGUGGCACUUGGCCAUGAGAAUCUCCCAUUGCAUAACCACCUCAUACGUUCUAUCCUACACAAUGCCAGUAGAGCAUGUGGCCCACCUGUAAUUAAUGAUCCUAAGUUGGUCAGAGGUGCCACCCCAUCUGGCCAUGCAUUUGUUCCUCCUGUCUGGGACAACGGUAGUGCUUUGAACCAGAAUGUCAAAGAGAACAAACCAUCAAGCAGAAGGGAAAAUGCAUUAACCCAUAAGUCAUCACUGAACCAUUGUGCGACUAUUCAGGAGAAUGGUGUUCAUCAUUUGAGUGAUCUGAAGAGAUGUACACAAGUUCAAAAAGGUGAACAUGUGGAACCGCUUAUCAAGCGACCGCGUCUGGAGAAGGAACCAUUCAGUUUACACUCCCUGCAUAGCAAUGGAUCUGCUCUGCCUUCAGGAGAGAACCUGGGACGAGAAAUUAUACACCAAUCCCAAGGUCCAGUUCAAGCUCCACUUGGCAUUCAGUUACGUCCUGGUAGUUUUGCUGGGUUCCAAAAACCCUCAGCCCUUGCUUCUAUCAGUUCAAAGGAUACCUCUGAUACUUGUAUUGAAUUUGGUGAACUAUGUGAUACUUUGUCGGUGAAGAAGAGGAUGGACAAAAUAGCAGAAUCAGAAGGGUUGGAAGGGGUGUCAAUAGAGUGUGCCAAUUUGUUGAAUAAUGGUAUAGAUGUUUUCAUUAAGCAGUUGAUUGGACCUUGCGUUGAAUUAGUAACAGCAAGGUCUCAACUUGGCAAACUAAGAAAUGAGGCAUUGAAGCAGCAACUUCGCCGAAAACUAAUAAAUGGUGUGUCACUGCAAAAUCAUAUUCCUGGGCAAGGUGGUAUUAUACCUCCAGAGACAAAUUCCAUCUCCAUGCAGGACUUAAAGGCAGUGAUGGAGUUAAACCCUUGCUUGCUUGGGGUUAAUGCAUCACUGCUACUUGAAAAGAUUAAUUCAUACGACUAGUUGGAUGGAGCAGGUUGGAAUGAUCUCCUCACAAGGUUCUAGGAUCUUGAUGGCGUGUCUUGCUUCAUGGCUGUUCUAGUCAGGCCACUAGGUGGAAAAUGCUGAUGAAUUCUGUGUGCAGUGUCCUGAUUGUUUGGCAUCUCAGCUCCAGUGCAAUUUUCCAGAAUAAGCAAAGAUCUGCUUAUCCACUGGUGCUGCAUUUUAGAACUCAUUCAUUUCAUGCACCUAAGCACCACUAUUGCAAAAGUGCUUCAGCGAGAACUAUGGUGCUGGCUAAACAAAUUGAGGAGCCAUAUCACAGAUUUGAUCUGAUUGAGUCACGGCCUACCACCUCAUCUGCUGCCUGCAGAUAACCUGCUGCAAGUGAUACAAAGAUAGGAUAGUGUGAGAUAAAAGCCUGGUGGCUCUUUCUCCGCUGUUUGCAAACGAUUUGUUCAUAAUCACAGUUUACUGGGAAACUUUCCCGCCUUCAGGCAUUCACUUACGGAAGUGCAAUAAUGCAACAAGCCACUCCGCUGGUUUAUCCAUGUUGACUAAUGUCUUCAGCCUAUCUUCCCAGUGAAGCAUAGGCAACAUCCCCAGUGACAACUCUACCAAUUGAAACAUGAGACUCCAAUUUGUGCCCGGCACGGACACACGAGGGUUGUGUAUAUACGGGUUUCGUAGCUGAGGAUGGUCUGAAAAUGGACUUUCAGGAUGAUCGAUUUGGUAGCUACCAACCAUUUUCCAUUGUUGAUUCUAGCAGAACUGGAGAUCAGGGGUAGCAUCCACCGUCCAGUACGCAGGCUUUGCGAAAGAAAAGAGCAGCAAGGUUUUGUGCGCAUCUACAGGUCGAGCACGGUGACAUGUAAGCUGUGGCUGGAGAUCCAAACAGAGGGCCGGCCGCCUCUGGUGGCGCUGAUCCAGUUCCAACAUGUUACUCUUGUCGCUCAAACGGAACUGAAUUGACAUGGUAUUUUUAAUGAAAAAGUUAAAAGUAUUUUUCUUAAAGAGUAGACAGGUUAACAUGAUAGACUAAUUCACAAAUAAGCUCCUCCAUGCUAGGCUGCUAGCAGUAGUUCAGACUGGUAGUUUUCUUGGCUUGCACCGUCGUAAUUGCUUUGACAAAGUCGUCCUCAUGUGUCACCUGCAAAAAUGAUUCAUGGUAGCUUAUAUAUGUUUCC